UUGAGGGCGUAUGGAUUAAUAACCCAAG
rnacentral:rRNA from 1 species